rnacentral:lncRNA from 1 species
CACAAACAGAGCGUCUCCUAUAAAUAUAUCAGUAAUGACCAUAAAAAGGAAAGCAGCCUAAACAAAAACCACGUCCAGGCGCUGAAUUCGGGUAUUGCGCUCUUGAAAGAAGCGAGCCCGCACCGGGCAGCUCUUGUGCCAGCCAGAGCCGUGCAGAACACGUGUGCCAUUUCACCGCUUAAAAACACCCAUCUGACAACCCAAACACGGCCUUCUUUCCUCCUUUUCCCACCAACAACCAAGCAGCGUGUUACCUUCAAGUAAUAAUGAGUAGCGCUUAUUUCAAUAGAUCUCUAUUCCUACAAAACGCAAUCCCCCUCAUUUAAGCCUUUGACUGGAAGGAGGAAAAAACAAGCCAGACUUUGCCCUGGAUCAGGGAAUUUGAGAGACGUAUCCAAGCCCGAAUCAGCCACAUACAAGUCCUAGGACAAGGAGUUAUGCAAAAAAAAAAUCACCUUGGAGUAAAGCAGACUAAGCUGAGAAUCCGAUGUACUGCAGAAAUUCUCUCCGCUUUGUGCAAAGAGUGGCAUGAUCAAAAGCACAAACUGAGCACAUGAGAGCAAGAAGCUCUAACGCAGAACCUAACCGUGGACCUCAGAUAUGAAGUAUAAGGAGUCUUCUCUCAGUGUGGAAGACCUGAAAAGGACUAAGUGACCUUUAAGGAUCUCUUCCAACUCAAAGGACUCUAUGAUUUCCUGUCUCUUAUCUCAGGACCUCUCAAUGCUCAUUUUUGCUUAUUUGCUCAUUUUUAUGAUGACAUAACUUGGACAAAAUGUGUUGAAAUGUUAUUUUCAAAACCUCCUUGACCAGUUGAGGACUAUUUCUUUCCAACAGCUUCAAACAAAGAGCAUCUACUCCUACAUCCCCUCCUAUACCCAAAGGGAACAAAGCAGGAGGCAUUUCACUAAUGCAAAGGAUUAUAUCAAAACCAGUGACUCUCCACUAAAUUCCACUUACAGAAACAUAGUGCAUCCCACGUGAUGAUCGCUUCCGCACUGGCAGGGGCCCACAAGCACUACUCUUGGCUCCACCUGAGACCAUUCAAUCCCUAUGCUGAGAGCACCACCCAAAUGCAACCCAAGCUGUGCCAGGCCCAGAGCCAUGAGCACCUCCUUGGGGAGCUCAUCGCAGUUACACGUAGAAUGGAACCUUGAACUGGAAAGGCAGUAACACACAUGAGCAAGUAGUGAUGGCAGAGCAACCAAGAGAGAAUGGCAUCUGCCGGGGCUGACCCCCAGCCGUCAGGGCAGGGAGCCUGAGACAGCAUGCAGGGAGGGCAGCAUCUCUGCCUGGGGAUGAGGUUCCAAGCAGAGCUGGGACCAGGACAGAGAUACCACGAGGAAGGCAGCAUUACUUAAGGGAGAAGACGACUGUCGUUCGUGCGCCCCCCUUUAGAUGCUGAAAGACCACUAUCAUAUCUCCCCGGAACCUUCUCCAGGCUGAACAGCCCCAGCUCUCUCAGAUUGUCCUCAGAGGAGAGGUGUUCCAUCCCUUGGAUGUUUUUUGUGUCCCUCCUCUGGACCUGCUCCAACAGCUCCAUGUCUCUCCUGUACUGAGGACUCCACAUCUGCACGCAGUACUCCAGUGCGAGGCUGAGUUGUCCUAGUGAAGAACAGUGAGGAUGUUUUGCACUACAGAGACAAGUACAAACUUCGCUGUUAGUCAAGGGAUGGGAAGCUCCACCAGUCGAAGGAACCUACAGCCCUGCAAGCACACCUCGCCUUGAUUGCUGAUCUCAGAUCUGCAAUUGCAUAAUUACCGAACUGAGAGAAAAUUACUUUUUGCUUGAGAGUGCUGGGACAGCUCUGAAUCCAUGAAUGACUCCCCUCAGGCACUGGUGUUUAAUUUAUGAGCUAUUUAUCUCCUUGCACACACCCCGGCACAAACAAUUAUACUUAGUAAUUUGUUGAUCUUAUCAAGGCUGUUUGAUGUUACUGUUGCUACCUCCAAUAACGCUGUGCUUUGAAACUUAAGCAGGGUUUAGAACCAAACUCGGCUACUUUGCACACAAUUCACAUUUCAGAAGUUUAACCCUUUGGCAGCUAAACGGCUUUCCACACCAUCUGUAAAGGUGAGCAAAAGUUCCAUCUGCUGCAGCCCAGCUGGCAGUGCAGCCCCUCGGCAGCAGCGGGCGCCCUUCGGCCAGGGGCAGUUCUGGACAACAGCCUCCCUGACUGCCAAAAAGGAGGACUGCAUUGACCUUUAAACUGUUGCACGUUUACCAUCAACAGAACUCAAUGGAUGCCUUUGUACGCCUCACCCUUGUCCCUGGUUCUAAGGAUCAGGAACCAAACUUGUGGCU